GUGGCAGACGGGUGAGUAACAUGUGGGUAUCUGCCCUAUGGCCUGGAAUAACACGAGGAAACUUGUGCUAAUACCGGAUAAGUCUUUACGGAGAAAGCUUUAUGCACCAUUGGAUGAGCCCGCACUUGAUUAGUUUGUUGGUGGGGUAAUGGCCUACCAAGACUGUGAUCAAUAGCUGAUUUGAGAGGAUGAUCAGCCACAUUGGGACUGAGACACGGCCCAAACUCCUACGGGAGGCAGCAGUGGGGAAUCUUGCACAAUGGAGGAAACUCUGAUGCAGCGAUGCCGCGUGAGUGAAGAAGGCCCUUGGGUUGUAAAGCUCUUUCGUCGGGGAAGAAAAUGACUGUACCCGAAUAAGAAGGUCCGGCUAACUUCGUGCCAGCAGCCGCGGUAAUACGAAGGGACCUAGCGUAGUUCGGAAUUACUGGGCUUAAAGAGUUCGUAGGUGGUUGAAAAAGUUGGUGGUGAAAUCCCAGAGCUUAACUCUGGAACUGCCAUCAAAACUUUUCAGCCAGAGUUUGAUAGAGGAAAGCAGAAUUUCUAGUGUAGAGGUGAAAUUCGUAGAUAUUAGAAAGAAUACCAAUUGCGAAGGCAGCUUUCUGGAUCAUUACUGACACUGAGGAACGAAAGCAUGGGUAGCGAAGAGGAUU
rnacentral:rRNA from 1 species